UCGAACGCGAAUUUUUCUUCUAGCAAUAGUUGAAAAGUUUGAGUGGCGAAAGGGUGCGUAACACGUGGGUAAUCUAUCUUUUUGUGGGGGAUAACUGCGCGAAAGCGGAGCUAAUACCGCAUGUGGUUGAAGGUUGCAUAACCUGAAAACCAAAGCUGGGGAUCGCAAGACCUGGCGCAAGAGGAGGAGCCCGCGGCCUAUCAGCUAGUUGGUGAGGUAACGGCUCACCAAGGCUUACGGGUAGCUGGUCUGAGAGGACGACCAGCCACACUGGGACUGAGACACGGCCCAGACACCUACGGGUGGCAGCAGUCGAGAAUUUUUCUCAAUGGGGGAAACCCUGAAGGAGCGACGCCGCGUGGGGGAUGAAGGACUUCGGUUCGUAAACCCCUGUCACUUGGGAACAAAAGUUGCAACCUAACACGUUGCAGCCUGAUAGUACCAGGAGAGGAAGGCACGGCUAACUCUGUGCCAGCAGCCGCGGUAAUACAGAGGUGCCAAGCGUUGUUCGGAUUUAUUGGGCGUAAAGGGUGCGUAGGCGGUCAUAUAAGUCGGUUGUGAAAUUCCGGAGCCUAACUCCGGAACGGCAUUCGAAACUGUAUGGCUCGAGAUCUGGAGAGGUGAUUGGAAUUCUCGGUGUAGCAGUGAAAUGCGUAGAUAUCGAGAGGAACACCAGAGGCGAAGGCGAAUCACUGGACAGAAUCUGACGCUGAGGCACGAAAGCUAGGGGAGCAAACGGGAUUAGAUACCCCGGUAGUCCUAGCCGUAAACGGUGCGCAUUUGAG
rnacentral:rRNA from 1 species